rnacentral:rRNA from 1 species
AUUGAACGCUGGCGGCAUGCCUUACACAUGCAAGUCGAACGGUAACAGGUCUUCGGAUGCUGACGAGUGGCGAACGGGUGAGUAAUACAUCGGAACGUGCCCGAUCGUGGGGGAUAACGGAGCGAAGGCUUUGCUAAUACCGCAUACGAUCUACGGAUGAAAGCAGGGGACCGCAAGGCCUUGCGCGGACGGAGCGGCCGAUGGCAGAUUAGGUAGUUGGUGGGAUAAAAGCUUACCAAGCCGACGAUCUGUAGCUGGUCUGAGAGGACGACCAGCCACACUGGGACUGAGACACGGCCCAGACUCCUACGGGAGGCAGCAGUGGGGAAUUUUGGACAAUGGGCGCAAGCCUGAUCCAGCCAUGCCGCGUGCAGGAUGAAGGCCUCGGGUUGUAAACUGCUUUUUGUACGGAACGAAAAGACUCUGGUUAUACCUGGGGUUCCAUGACGGUACCGUAAGAAUAAGCACCGGCUAACUACGUGCCAGCAGCCGCGGUAAUACGUAGGGUGCAAGCGUUAAUCGGAAUUACUGGGCGUAAAGCGUGCGCAGGCGGUGAUGUAAGACAGAUGUGAAAUCCCCGGGCUCAACCUGGGAACUGCAUUUGUGACUGCAUCGCUGGAGUACGGCAGAGGGGGAUGGAAUUCCGCGUGUAGCAGUGAAAUGCGUAGAUAUGCGGAGGAACACCGAUGGCGAAGGCAAUCCCCUGGGCCUGUACUGACGCUCAUGCACGAAAGCGU